rnacentral:rRNA from 1 species
UACGGAGGGUGCGAGUGUUGUCCGGAAUCAUUGGGCGUAAAGGGCGCGUAGGUGGCCCGGUCAGCGUGCGGUGAAAGCUCGGGGCUCAACCCCGAGUCGGCCGUGCGAACUGCUGGGCUUGAGCACUGUAGAGGCAGGCGGAAUUCCGGGUGUAGCGGUGGAAUGCGUAGAGAUCCGGAAGAACACCGGUGGCGAAGGCGGCCUGCUGGGCAGUGGCUGACACUGAGGCGCGACAGCGUGGGGAGCAAACAGG